GUCUGAUUUUAGGGUUUCUUUCCGUAAAAUCAAAACGUAUUAUGUUUCUCUCAUCAUCAGUUUAUUGUCUUCCUCUCACGAACCCGGAACCACUGCACUCCACCUCUCCCACCGGGCGACCGGCCGCCAGUCUCACUGCAUCGCCAUUUCAGUUCAGAUUUUUCUUCUUUUCAGGUGUUUGCAUCAUUGGAUUCUACCUGCUUGAUCAAAUUGAUUUUUUUUUUUUCGCUUUUCAAGGUAGGAGUUUUCUUUUUCUUUGUAUUGUUUGCAACUUUGUUUUGUGUGGCUAUACAAAAAUUAAUAAUUUCAUUGUGUUA